GCGGGCCGAGGCUGCCGCCCAGCGCCCUCACCGAGGCCAUGCCCGGGCCCUAGCGUGCCUGCCGCAUCCCGCGCCCAGCGCCCCGUCCCGCGCCCCGCGCCCCGCGGCCCCGCAGCCCCGCGCCCGCCGCCGCCUCUUCAAUGGGCAACCUGCUCGGCGGGGUCAGCUUCCGCGAGCCCACCACCGUGGAGGACUGCGACUCCACCUGGCAGACGGACUCGGAGCCCGAGCCCGAGGAGCCGGGGCCGGGCGGCGGCGGCGAGGGCCCGGGGCAGGAGCCCGAGCAGCCUGCGCAGCCCCCGGAGCGAGUCGGCGGGCGGCCCCGCGCCGGCCCCGCGCCGGACGAAGACGCCGAGGCGGCGGGCGCCGAGCAGGGUGGUGAUGCCACUGAAGCAACUGCCAAACCAAAGAGAAGCUUUUAUGCUGCGAGGGAUCUGUACAAAUAUCGACAUCAGUACCCACAGAACUUCAAAGAUAUCCGAUAUCAAAAUGACUUGAGCAAUCUUCGUUUUUAUAAGAAUAAAAUUCCAUUUAAGCCAGAUGGUGUUUACAUUGAAGAAGUUCUAAAUAAGUGGAAAGGAGAUUAUGAAAAGCUGGAGCACAACCACACUUAUAUUCAAUGGCUUUUCCCCCUGAGAGAACAAGGCUUGAACUUUUAUGCUAAAGAAUUAACUACAUAUGAAAUUGAGGAAUUCAAAAAAACAAAAGAAGCAAUUAAAAGAUUCCUCCUGGCUUAUAAGAUGAUGUUAGAAUUUUUUGGAAUAAAACUGGUUGAUAAAACUGGAAAUGUUGCUCGGGCCGUUAACUGGCAGGAGAGGUUUCAGCAUCUGAAUGAGUCCCAGCACAACUAUUUACGAAUCACUCGUAUUCUUAAAAGCCUCGGUGAGCUUGGAUAUGAAAGUUUUAAGUCUCCUCUUGUAAAAUUUAUUCUUCAUGAAGCUCUUGUGGAAAAUACUAUUCCCAAUAUUAAACAGAGCGCUCUGGAGUAUUUUGUUUAUACGAUUAGAGACAGGAGAGAGAGGAGAAAGCUCCUACGUUUUGCCCAGAAACAUUAUACGCCUUCAGAGAAUUUUAUCUGGGGGCCACCGAGGAAAGAACAGUCAGAGGGAAGCAAAGCCCAGAAAAUGCCCGCCCCUCCCACCUCUGGUCAUAUCAGUCAAACUUCUAUGCACAAAAAAUCCAAGGACUCCAAAAAUUCCUCCUCAGCUGUUCAUUUAAAUAGCAAAACGGCGGAAGAAAAAAAGGCGGCCCCUGGAGGGCCUGGAGAAGAGACAGACAGGCCAGGCGCCGAGCCCAGCCGUGAAGCUACCAAGCCUGGAAACACAGAGGAUGGUAAGGCCGAAAACUCGAAUUCUGACGCGGAAAAAACAGGCACCAAUCCCACAGAGAGGAAGGAGAGUGCAGCGCCCGCUGAGAACGAGGAAGAAGGUGAAACUCCUAACAAAGACUGUGAAGAUCCUGGAACUGCAGGUUCCCCUGGUGAGGGACAAUUACAGUGAACUAUGAGACCGCACACCCCAGCAGUAGGCGCUGUUCAAAGCAGAGCUCAUUGGAGAGAGGGAAGAAGCUGGUACACAUUACUCGAGCCAGUGGCCUGGAAGGAGGCUUGAGCCAUCAGCACACGCGCCUUCAGUUCCAUGAGAGCCUGGCCUUCGGUCUGGUCUGUUCAUCUCCUCACGGUCUGGCACAGAGGAGACGUCCAACGAUAUUUGUUGAGUCAACUAACAACUUCCGCAAUAAUGACGAUAUAUGAAGUAGUGAUGUCUUUUAUUUUUUAUAUUACUGGACUAUUUUUGCCUGCAUGGGAUAGAAACCCAACUUGCACGAAUGUAAGCAAAAAGAAAAGAUGCCGUUGUGGGAGCACUCCUAGAUGGAGGGUGGGUGCCUGUCCUUAGGAGUAGUACUCGGCAACCCAGACUUUUCUGGCUCCAUCUGGCAUCCUUGAUUCCUUCCAGCUUCCUCUACAAGGUGACUCGUGGUCACAGGUAGCACCUGGGUUCACAUUUCAGUUUUCUUUUCAGAAGGGAACCACCUUGUUCCCUAGUUUGUCCGGCUCCAGUUUUUUUACCCAGUGUUUGUUGCAAAGGUUGAGGGCCGGGCAGGGUUCAGCAGAAGGUCUUUCAUCACAGAUUUGUUAGUUCCUGUUGAAAAGCAGAUUAAA